AGGGAACAAUCAGGGACAGCUGGGAACAGCUGGGAACAACCAGGGAACAAUCAGGGAACAACCAGGAACAGCUGGGAACAACCAGGGAACAACCAGGAACCGCUGGGAACAACCAGGGAACAACCAGGAACCGCUGGGAACAACCAGGGAACAACCAGGGAACAAUCAGGGAACAAUCAGGGAACAACCAGAGAACAAUCAGGGAACAACCAGGGAACAAUCAGGGAACAAUCAGGGAACAAUCAGGGAACAACCAGGUACAGCUGGGAGCAAUCAGGGAACAACCAGGGAACAAUCAGGGACAGCUUUGACGGUUUUUCUUUACUUUCAGGAUGUUUGUAGUAAUAAAACCCAAACUUCUCGUUGCAGCUGCAUCUCUUCCCCAUUUCAGUUCUGAUCUGUUUGCGAUGUUCUGUCAGUCUGGGCGAUGGAUCCUGAAUGAUGCCACAACUCGACUGUUUCCAGCAUGUUUAGGUUUCAGAUACAACAUCUUCACAUGCUGCUGUAAACCCGGUUCUGAGCUAAGCGAGCCGGGUUGGUGAUGAUCUGAUCAGCGCUGCAGGAAAACCCGGCCUUCGGUCUGUGAUGAUGCAGACGCACCGCAGACGGCGCCUCCUCAGACGUCACCUUCAUCCUCCGUCACUUCACUGCUGAGCUCCGACCGCAGCAGCAGAAACUGAAACCGUCUCACAAACCGGAUGCGUUUUCUUUCUCUUUGGUUCAGUGUUUUUGGUAGACAUGAAUUAUCCUCCAGCUUCGCCAUCCUCAGAUGGUCAUCAGAGGCAGGUGUGAAGCGGUGCGAACCUCUCGCCUCUGGGAGCAGACACUGUGAGGUCAGAGGUCAGCUUUAACUACCGGGUUCACGACCUCGAGCUGGACAGACUCCCAAAGACCUCAGCUGGCCGCCGGCAUGGAGGCCGGGAACCAAACAGAGUUCAAGGCCUGAAGCUGGACUUUUAUGAUGCAGCUCUGGUUUAAUCCAGCAGCAGAAACUCAGAAACUCGUCCCAGACAGAAACGUCUCCUGUCGGCAGCUUCGUUUAUAUUCUGCUAAUGUUGAAAAAACACAUUUUCACAAUUGCAGUGUCACUAUUAAACAAAAGACCCAAUUAAAAUCA